rnacentral:rRNA from 1 species
UGCAGCUGGGUUACCACCAUCGUCCAAUAUCAGAAGUAAAGCCAGGCUGGUCCUGGUCAGUACCAGGAUGGGAGACCUCCAAGGAAAACCAGGUUGCUGUUGCAU